UUUUACCGAGCUAACACAGGAGCUGCGGAGAUACUGUUCACUUUGUUUGUUUGUGUUACUGUGUGGUACUUUUACUUCAGUAAAGUAUCUGAUUACUUCUUCCACCACUGAAAGUCACACAGUAACACAGACACACUAACAGAUGGAGGCAGUGGUAUUCCAGCAGCUCCCAGUAAAAUCCCUGUUUUUCUCUAUGGAGUCUGGUAGUGACAUACAGCGAUGUUUCUGUCUAAACAAAAAGGAUCUUAUCAAGCGUUUACACCCAAAAACAUGGGAAAAUAAGACCCAUGUUGAAAAAACUACGGUUACACUUUAAGUUAUAUCACACACAAACACAUUAUACGAGGCUGCACCACAUAACUCUCACUGCAUUCUCAGUUAACAGGCUGAAAUCAAGUCUCUCAUUAUCACAAAUACACACAUAUGUACAUAUUUGUACACAAGGACACACUCUCUCUCUCCUCUGGCGUCAGGCCUCAUUUUGUGGCCGGCGGACAUCAUUAGUGGGGGAUUGUGGGAAGAAGAAGAGGGGAGAAGGAAGUUUUUCUUUUUUCUUUUUUUUUUUAAUGGAGUGACCACAGAGAGAGGGAGGGCUGGUAGAGAGACAAUGAAAAAGACAGAGAGAGAGAGGUUUAAUGUAAUGGAGAGAAGAUGAAGAAAAUAAAGA